GCUUGUCUCAAAGAUUAAGCCAUGCAUGUCUAAGUAUAAACGACUUUAUACUGUGAAACUGCGAAUGGCUCAUUAUAUCAGUUAUAGUUUAUUUGAUGGUCCUUGCUACUUGGAUAACCGUAGUAAUUCUAGAGCUAAUACAUGCAUCAAGCCCCGACUUCUGGAAGGGGUGUAUUUAUUAGAUACAAAACCAACCCGGGCAACCGGUCCUUUGGUGAUUCAUGAUAACUUUGCGAAUCGCAUAGCUUUAAUGCUGGCGAUGGGUCAUUCAAAUUUCUGCCCUAUCAACUUUCGACGGUAGGAUAGAGGCCUACUGUGGUGAUAACGGGUAACGAAGAAUAAGGGUUCGAUUUCGGAGAGGGAGCCUGAGAAACGGCUACCACAUCCAAGGAAGGCAGCAGG
rnacentral:rRNA from 1 species